rnacentral:rRNA from 1 species
AGCCAUGCAUGUUUCCGCAAUCAGGGACGAAUAGCUCAGUAAAACUGCGAUGAUUUAGUCUGGCUGUGUAGAUAACUACGUGAAAAUGUAGCUAAGGGAAGGCAGAAUAAGACGCAGGACUAUCAGUUAGUUGGUAGUGUAAUGGACUACCAAGACAGUGACGGUUGACGGGAAAUUAGGGUUUUGUACCGGAGAGGGAGCCUGAGAGAUUGCUCCCACGUCCAAGGACGGCAGCAGGCGCGAAAAUUGCCCACUCUUUGCAGGAGGCAGUUAUGAGACGUGAAGAUGAGUAUCUUGUAAAGAGGGAUAGGAGAAUUGGAGGGCAAGUUUGGUGCCAGCAGCCGCGGUAAUACCGACUCCAAGAGUGUGUAUGAGAGAUGCUGCAGUUAAAAAGUCCGUAGUCAUAGAAGGGCAAAGAGAGAUGCGAGGUCUCACAGUGCGAUGAUGGAGGAGCCGAUGGGGAACAUAGUAUACCAGGGCGAGAGAUGAAAUGCCAAGACCCCUGGUGGACUGAGCGAGGCGAAGGCGAUGUUCUUGUAGGCAUUCGGUGAUCAAGGACGAAGGCUGGAGUAUCGAAAGUGAUUAGAUACCGCAGUAGUUCCAGCAGUAAAAGAUGCCGACAUGCUCAUUGGACACAGUGGGCAGGGAGAAAUCUUAGAGUUCGGGCUCUGGGGAUAGUAUGCUCGCAAGGGUGAAAAUUAAAGAAAUUGACGGAGCUACACCACAAGGAGUGGAUUG